CAGCACUCUACUUUUUUAAAAACUCUCUGGAUAGGAAAGUUUAUAGGACUAGAGGCUCUUCCUGAAUGGUUGGGAAAUCUUACAUCUCUUGAGACUACAUAUCUGGCUUUGAGAGAAUCUCAAGUAUCUACCUACACUGAAUGCUAUGAAAAGCCUCACCAAAUUAAAGAAGCUCUACAUUGAGGGAUGUCCCCUGCUCAAGGAAAGAUGCACCAAGGAGACUGGCCCAAGAUUUCUCACAUCCCAGAACAUGACUUGUGGUGAAGCUACGUAAUGGCCUGCCAUACUAAACUAGAAUGCCUGGUCACAUUUCAAGAGGAAAAUGUAUUAUCAAUUGAUUUCAUUCAAGUUACGAGGUUAAUCAAUUCCCAAUUGCCAGAGAUUUAUCCCUAAAGCGGGGUUCUAUCAUACUUAAUGGGAAGA